UCGCAUCUCUGAUAAGCCGAACUAUUCCUAUCCCAUCUUCCGGCGAGGUAACGAACAACAGCUCGACAAUUUCAACAAAGACCGCUGUAUGUAUCGUUUCAUCUUACCUCGGACUUUGGGCCAUAUGGGCCAACAAUUUCCGACAAAUAAGGCUGGAGCCGUUUUUGAGUUUAGCAUAACUAACGAACGCGUCACAUUGGGCAUUAGCAACAUCGUACGAAACGGUUGUUUUUUUUUCGGAACUGUUGCUUCCAUUUACUGCAACAACAUGUUUGGCUAUGUUGGAUUUCUUCGGAAAGUAUUUUAUUUUCCAUUCGGAUCUUUCUUUUAGUAUUAAAUCACGUGAUUGGUACCAGAUUACUUAUCUUGGUUAAUUGAUAUACAAAUCAAAAAUAUUAAAUUCUUGCCAAACAAA